CCUACGGGUGGCAGCAGUGGGGAAUAUUGCACAAUGGGGGAAACCCUGAUGCAGCGACGCCGCGUGAGUGAAGAAGUAAUUCGUUAUGUAAAGCUCUAUCAGCAGGGAAGAAAAUGACGGUACCUGAGUAAGAAGCCCCGGCUAACUACGUGCCAGCAGCCGCGGUAAUACGUAGGGGGCAAGCGUUAUCCGGAUUUACUGGGUGUAAAGGGAGCGUAGGCGGGAGUGCAAGUCUGGAGUGAAAGGCUGGGGCUUAACCAUCGGACUGCUUUGGAAACUGUAAGGCUAGAGUGCAGGAGAGGUAAGUGGAAUUCUUAGUGUAGGGGUGAAAUGCGUAGAUAUUAAGAGGAAUACCAGUGGCGAAGGCGGCCUACUGGACUGUAACUGACGUUGAGGCGCGAAAGCGUGGGGAGCAAACAGGAUUAGAUACCCGAGUAGUC
rnacentral:rRNA from 1 species